rnacentral:misc_RNA from 1 species
AGCAGCCGCGGUAAUUCCAGCUCCAAUAGCGUAUAUUAAAGUUGUUGCAGUUAAAAAGCUCGUAGUUGAAUUUCGGGAUUGACGCGAUGGUCAUGCCUUAAGGGGUAUGAACUGUUACUGUUGAUUUCUCACCUUCUGGAGAAACUUGAUGUCCUUUAUUGGGUGUCUUGCGGAUCCAGGACCUUUACCUUGAAAAAAUUUAGAGUGUUUAAAGCAGGCAUUUUUGCUCGAAUACAUUAGCAUGGAAUAAUAGAAUAGGACGGCAUGGUUCUAUUUUGUUGGUUUCUAGGAUCACCGUAAUGAUUAAUAGGGGUAGUUGGGGGCAUUAGUAUUCAAUUGUCAGAGGUGAAAUUCUUGGAUUUAUUGAAGACUAACUACUGCGAAAGCAUUUGCCAAGGAUGUUUUCAUUAAUCAAGAACGAAAGUUAGGGGGAUCGAAGACGAUCAGAUACCGUCGUAGUCUUAACCAUAAACUAUGCCGACUAGGAAUCAGACGAUGUAAUUUUUUAAUGACUCGUUUG